GGCACGGUGGUGCAGUGGGUAGCACUGUCGCCUCACCGUAAGAAUGGCCUGGGUUCGAGUCCCGGCCUGGGCCU
rnacentral:tRNA from 1 species